AGCAGCCGCGGUAAUUCCAGCUCCAAUAGCGUAUAUUAAAGUUGCUGCAGUUAAAAAGCUCGUAGUUGAAUUUCGGGACCAAUAUGUCGGUCGUGCCUCGGUACGUACUGUCAUUACUGGUUUCUACCUUCUGAAGAACCUCGAUGUCAUUAAUUUGGUGUCUUGGGGAAUCAGGACUGUUACUUUGAAAAAAUUAGAGUGUUUAAAGCAGGCUCGCGCUUGAAUACAUUAGCAUGGAAUAAUGAAAUAGGACGUUUGAUUCUAUUUUGUUGGUUUCUAGGAUCGACGUAAUGAUUAAUAGGGAUAGUUGGGGGCAUUAGUAUUCAAUUGUCAGAGGUGAAAUUCUUGGAUUUAUUGAAGACUAACUACUGCGAAAGCAUUUGCCAAGGAUGUUUUCAUUAAUCAAGAACGAAAGUUAGGGGAUCGAAGACGAUCAGAUACCGUCGUAGUCUUAACCAUAAACUAUGCCGACUAGGGAUCGGAUGAUGUAAUUUUUAAUGACUCAUUCGGCGCCUUACGG
rnacentral:rRNA from 1 species